CUCGGGCUCCUCUUCGGCAUUGAGGUGGUAGAGAUUGCCGAAGAACUCGUCGAAGCCAUGCGCUGUCGGCAGGAAUUCAUCCUU
rnacentral:sRNA from 1 species